rnacentral:rRNA from 1 species
UACAGAGGUGGCAAGCGUUGUUCGGAAUUACUGGGCGUAAAGGGCGCGUAGGCGGCCAUCUAAGUCAGACGUGAAAUCCCCCGGCUUAACCUGGGAACUGCGUCUGAUACUGGAUGGCUUGAGAUUGGGAGAGGGAUGCGGAAUUCCAGGUGUAGCGGUGAAAUGCGUAGAUAUCUGGAGGAACACCGGUGGCGAAGGCGGCAUCCUGGACCAACACUGACGCUGAGGAGCGAAAGCCAGGGGAGCAAACGGG